rnacentral:rRNA from 1 species
CCUACGGGAGGCAGCAGUGAGGAAUAUUGGUCAAUGGACGAGAGUCUGAACCAGCCAAGUAGCGUGAAGGAUGACUGCCCUAUGGGUUGUAAACUUCUUUUAUAUGGGAAUAAAACGUUCCACGUGUGGGAUUUUGUAUGUACCAUAUGAAUAAGGAUCGGCUAACUCCGUGCCAGCAGCCGCGGUAAUACGGAGGAUCCGAGCGUUAUCCGGAUUUAUUGGGUUUAAAGGGAGCGUAGGUGGAUUGUUAAGUCAGUUGUGAAAGUUUGCGGCUCAACCGUAAAAUUGCAGUUGAAACUGGCAGUCUUGAGUACAGUAGAGGUGGGCGGAAUUUGUGGUGUAGCGGUGAAAUGCUUAGAUAUCACGAAGAACUCCGAUUGCGAAGGCAGUUCACUGGACUGCAACUGACACUGAGGCUCGAAAGUGUGGGUAUCAAACAGGAUUAGAUACCCCUGUAGUC